GACGAACGCUGGCGGCGCGCCUAACACAUGCAAGUCGAACGGUGAAGACUAGCUUGCUCCUCGGAACAGUGGUGGACGGGUGAGUAACACGUGAGCAACCUGGCUCUAAGCUGGGGCCAACAUUUGUAUACGACUGCUAAUACCGCAUUACUUAUCGGUAUGGCAUCUUCCUGAUACCUAAGAUUUUAUCGCUUAGUGUUGUGCUCGCGUCUGAUUUGAUAGUGGGUGGGGUAACGGCCCACCAAGUCGACGAUCAGUAGCCGGACUGAGAGGUUGAACGGCCACAUUGGGACUGAGACAAGGCCCAGACGCGGAAGGGAGGAAGAAGUGGGGGAUAUUGGACAAGGGGGGCAACACUGAGGAAGCGACGCCGCGUGAGGGAAGAAGGUUUUCGGAUUGUAAAACUCUGUUGACGGAGAAAAAAAUGAUGGUAUCCGUAUAGAAAGCCACGGCUAACUACGUG
rnacentral:rRNA from 1 species